CGAAAAUAAUUUUUAACCAUUUUCACAAAAAAGUUUUUUUUUUUUUUUUUUUUCGGGACUUAAAAACGGUGACCCCGGACAUGCCGAAUUUGUGACAUUCUGGAAAGGACCCCGAAAAUAAUUUUUAACCAUUUUCACAAAAAAGUGAUUUAUUUUUAUUUUUUAUUUUUAUUUUUUUCGGGACUUAAAAACGGUGACCCCGGACAUGCCGAAUUUGCGCCAUUCUGGAAAGGACCCCGAAAAUAAUUUUUAACCAUUUUCA